GCCAGGCAUGGUGGUGCACGCCUGUAAUCCCAGCUGCUUGGGAGACUGAGACUGGAGGAUCACGAGUUCGAAGCCAACCUCAGCAACAGUGAGGCACUAAGCAACUCAGGGAGACCCUGCCUCUA
rnacentral:sRNA from 1 species